AUCAAAUUGCUCUCCAUUCUCUCUGCUUUCUCCCUCCCAAAGAAGAACUCCAUUGAAGGGCUAGGUUGUCAUUAGGGAAGCAAGAAAGGUUCUUUUCUCCAUCAAUAUUCAACAAUUAACAAGGAUUGGUUGAUGGUAAUACCAAUGAGGAUGGCUUGUGGAAUGAGAAUUGAUUCCGAUCAUUGAAGGGUUUAUGACCAUCAUGCAGGAAGGCUUUGAUGAUUUGUCCAAAUGUGGGUAUGUCCUCAAGUUCCGAGGAUGAUGCUUUUCUCUUACUCUGCCUAUGUUACAUUGUUAUAGUCUAAAGACAAUCAUUGCACUCUUAUUGUUUCAAGAUAUUGUUGUAAGCCCUAAGUGUCAUUUAUACAUUUGUGUAAGAGAUAUGCCCAUAUUGUACUAUUCCGUUUAGAUGGUUUAAUGUGAGACAUCCCUAUUGAGACUA